AAUCCGGGCGGCCGCGGGCCGGGCCGAGCGCCCGGCUCCGCCCCGCCGCCGCCGUCCAAUCGGUCGCAGCCGAGGGCUGGCGCGGAGACGCGCCGGCGGCGGGGAAGUUGGCUGCAGUGGGGAACCGGGGUUGCGGACUGGCGCUGUGGGGACGGCUGCGCGGGGUUCCGGGUGCCUCGGGAGGGAAGUGGCGGCCCCAGGAGGCCCUGGCUGAGAGAGGUUUGGGGCCACCGAGACCCUUAGGGGUCGCGGAGUGUCGGCGAGCUGUGGAGCGAGAAGCCUGGCCGCCUCGCGGACCGACUCCGGGUCGACAACGCCCACACCUGGCGUCCGCGGGAGGCGCCGAACUUGGCGGCCCCGAAGGAGCCCCAGCAGUCGGAGGAAACCGAGACCCAAAGAGGCCACGUGGGAGAGAUGAGAAGAGGCUAAAUACAGCCAUAUAAAAAACAACCAUCAAACUAGAAAGCACCUUCAGGCUUAACAUCAACAGCAAUGGAGAGCCAUGAUGGGUUGGUGAGUGGUCUGAUCAGGCCCGUGAUUUGGAAGGAUAAUUGGAGGUGGUGAUAAGUGUUCUUAUAGGAGAGAGCGGAAAAUGUGGGAGUCUUCAGGAUCAGAAGACCAAGACUGCCUUUUCCCUUAAUCAUGCCUGGCCACACCUAUGUUUUCCAUACGAAGGAGAGGCAGCCAGAUCCUGGGCAAGGUCAAAUAGAAACAGUCUCUCCCACUGCAUGGCACUGCAUUCCCUGGGAAUCUUCGUGGGCCCUGGAAGGCGUUGGCAAUGACACUUGUGUGGGAAUAGCAUCGCUGACAAGUGCCGUACAUGAGUUUAACCAAGCAGGAAACACCAUUUAGAACACCACUUGCUGAGAUGUGGCUCUUAUCUGUGUCUGUCAGUGAACAAUGACUACAACAAGCCCCGUUCAAUCACAGUUGUUAGCACAGCUAAUUACAGCAGUCUCGGGUGGGAGGAAUCCCAGCAGAGGCCUCUAAGGGACUUCCAUCACAGGUUCAAACAUUGGCUUUGCAGGUAAGCAAUGGAAAUAGGCCCCUUGGGGGGCCUUUAAACAACAGUUCUCCGCAACUCUGAACAUGGAUCCAUCUUCACUCCACAGCUGGCGAAGGAUCAUUUUCAAAAGAGAACCACCACCAGAGAACGAAGGAGGAAAGGGAUGUUUAAAGCCAGUAGGGUAAAUGUUCUGGAUUAAAUGAGAGCAGAACUGGGUAUUAUUCCUUGGGCCGUCUUUGACUCACUGCAUGACCUGACGGAGGUCGCUUCCCCUUUCUGGGCCUCACUGUUCUCAUCUCAAAAAUAAGGAUAAUAAUACUGGCUCUAUUUAUAUCACAGAUUGCUGAAAGAAUAAAAUAUGUAGUUUAAAAAAUAGAAGUUGGGGAAAAAUAGAAAAUGCCAUACAACUCUAGGUGGUGUCACUGUUAUUCCCCUUCUUUUCUACAUUUUACUGACAAAUGAUGAAAGGCAGUAAGAAAAAAGUCUGUGCUGUUGCAGAAUCUCAAACUUUAUUUUCU